UAAAUAAGCCAUCGCGAUAAUUUGCUAUGAACCAGGUCAGGAUAGGAAUAUAGCAGCCUUAAGUAGAUAAAUUAUGUGCGAUGGUUUAUUUGUAU
rnacentral:SRP_RNA from 1 species